CUUUCUUACUUCCUUCUUCGGUCUGCUGAGUGUUUGGUGGAGCUCUCUAGCACACAUUGCAACCCUAACAGUGGAAGGAGGACCCAUUUCUGAGCUUCCUUCUGUUUUUCUUGAAUAGACUUAAACAGAAAAUUCUAAGGUCUAAGUGUCUAAGGUUGUAGUGUGACUUUUGAUUUCAUGGUAUUGGACAUGAUACAAAAAUAUUCAAAGAUGUGGUUAUGGAUAUUGAUUGGCCUUAACAUCAUCACAAAGGUGCAUGGGUAUGCAGAUGGCAUAUUCCCAGGGGCGUGUGAAUCAAUGUUACCUCAUCAUACAAUAAGUGGGACACCUAUCGAUCCUCAGAACAAUGAACCACCCUUUGAGAUCGUCUACCAACCGGGCAAAAAGAGAAACACUAUUACAGUUACUCUCCAGAGAAAACAAUCCAGAGUGUUCAUUGGAUUCAUGUUGGAGGCUCGACAGAGAGGCUCUCCUGUAGGAAAAUUCCUCCUGCUUGAGCCUGAACACACUCAACUCCUGAAGUGCAAUGA